rnacentral:rRNA from 1 species
UGGGUCCUACGGGGGGCAGCAGUGAGGAAUAUUGGUCAAUAGGCGGGAGCCUGAACCAGCCACGCCGCGUGAGGGAAGAAGGUACAGCGUAUCGUAAACCUCUUUUGUCAGGGAACAAAGACUGGGACGCGUCCCCGGAUGAGUGUACCUGAAGAAAAAGCAUCGGCUAACUCCGUGCCAGCAGCCGCGGUAAUACGGAGGAUGCGAGCGUUAUCCGGAUUUAUUGGGUUUAAAGGGUGCGCAGGCGGUCUGUUAAGU